rnacentral:rRNA from 1 species
CGAUAGAUCUCGGUCGCUGGAAUGCCCCGAGAUCGAAAGCUCCGGCGCCAGAGGAUGGGUCUGCGGCCUAUCAGGUAGUAGUGGGUGUAGCGUACCUACUAGCCUACGACGGGUACGGGUUGUGAGAGCAAGAGCCCGGAGAUGGAUUCUGAGACACGAAUCCAGGCCCUACGGGGUGCAGCAGGCGCGAAAACUUUACAAUGCCGGCAACGGCGAUAAGGGAACCUCGAGUGCCAGGUUACAAAUCUGGCUGUCGAGAUGCCUAAAAAGCAUUUCAUAGCAAGGGCCGGGCAAGACCGGUGCCAGCCGCCGCGGUAACACCGGCGGCUCGAGUGGUAACCGUUAUUAUUGGGUCUAAAGGGUCUGUAGCCGGCCGGAUAAGUCUCUUGAGAAAUCUGGCAGCUUAACUGUCAGGCUUUCAGGAGAUACUGUCUGGCUCGAGGCCGGGAGAGGUGAGAGGUACUUCAGGGGUAGGGGUGAAAUCUUGUAAUCCUUGAAGGACCACCAGUGGCGAAGGCGUCUCACCAGAACGGACCUGACGGCAAGGGACGAAAGCUAGGGGCACGAACCGGAUUAGAUACCCGGGUAGUCCUAGCCGUAAACGAUACUCGCUAGGUGUCGGCCACGGUGCGACCGUUGUCGGUGCCGUAGGGAAGCCGUGAAGCGAG